GUAUGGAACUCAAGGACAUUAGACCUAAUUUUUCUUUUCCCUCUCCCCUUUUCCAUUUCCUGUCCCCGCUUCACUCUUUUUUUUGAAGGGCAGCCCAGGUCCUCCCGGUGCUCCUGGAAUGCCUGGACCUAUUGGAUGGCCUGGCCCAAUGGGGCCUACGGGUGAAAAGGGAGAUUUAGGUUUGAUGGGAUUGCCAGGUACAAGAGGACCAAUGGGCCAUAAGGGUUACCCAGGAAGCAGAGGAGAAAAGGUUGGUGAUACAGAGAUGUCUUAGUUUAAUUACUUCAACCACGGUAAUCUAUGCUUCUCAGACCAAAAGGAAAAGGAAAAAAUGUGGGGGAGAAGUAAUAUGUUGAUGAGUUCAAGAUGGCAGGACCUGAGCCACUUAUGCAUGGCACCCAACUGUUUGUUCCCAAGCUGCUCAUAAAGUUCUUCAGUGGGCAUUGUUGGCAUCUGUGUGCAAC
rnacentral:lncRNA from 1 species